rnacentral:rRNA from 1 species
AUUGAACGCUGGCGGCAUGCUUUACACAUGCAAGUCGGACGGCAGCACAGAGAAGCUUGCUUCUUGGGUGGCGAGUGGCGAACGGGUGAGUAACAUAUCGGAACGUACCGAGCAGUGGGGGAAUAACUAAUCGAACACACCAUUAGCUAAUACCGCAUAUUUUCUGAGGAAGAAAGCAGGGGACCAUUUGGCCUUGCGCUGUUUGAGCGGCCGAUAUCUGAUUAGCUAGUUGGUGGGGUAAAGGCCUACCAAGGCGACGAUCAGUAGCGGGUCUGAGAGGAUGAUCCGCCACACUGGGACUGAGACACGGCCCAGACUCCUACGGGAGGCAGCAGUGGGGAAUUUUGGACAAUGGGCGCAAGCCUGAUCCAGCCAUGCCGCGUGUCUGAAGAAGGCCUUCGGGUUGUAAAGGACUUUUGUCAGGGAAGAAAAGGGCGGGGUUAAUACCCCUGUCUGAUAACGGUACCCUGAAGAAUAAG